UACGGAGGGGCUAGCGUUGUUCGGAAUUACUGGGCGUAAAGCGCACGUAGGCGGCUUUGUAAAGUUAGAGGUGAAAGCCCAGGGCUCAACCCUGGAAUUGCCUUUAAGACUUGCAUCGCUUGAACAUCGGAGAGGUAAGUGGAAUUCCGAGUGUAGAGGUGAAAUUACGUAGAUAUUCGGAAGAACACCAGUAGGCGAAGGCGACUUACUGGAC
rnacentral:rRNA from 1 species